CGGAAUCGGAACAAACAUGCCCUGUGCAGUCGCCCAUAGCCUUGAUUAAUUGCCGUCAGGCCACACACCACACACCACAUCGGGCCGACCGACACAUUCUCAAUCACUUAACUCAAGUGUUAUUGCCAAUCUUUAUCGACCAGAAAAGAAACUGAGAAACAGGCAAUACAAACAGGCAACACCGACACACAAAAGGGCUCUAAUUAGGCCUGAUUCGAGUAAGGCCUAUUCGAGGCACUGCGUAAUAAUAACAGAUGUUGAAGCCAGACUCUCGAAACGGAUAAAGACUCUCCUAACUUCCAGGUGCACUCGAACGAUAAUCAUCUUGGAGAACGGUUUUCAACUCCAUUUACCGAUUGCCCCAGCGCACGUGGGCCGCCGGAUCUCUUCGGAAUUGUUUGAGCGCUUAAACCAACUGCCAAGCUGUUUUUUAUAGAGUCUAAAAGACCACCAAAUGGAUUUUACAGCUGAUUCUAAGUGUUGUUAAUGACUUCCAAAUGGUUUUCCAAAUGGUAAUUUUAUUU